rnacentral:rRNA from 1 species
GAAACUAACAAGGAUUCCCCUAGUAGCGGCGAGCGAAGCGGGAAGAGCUCAAAUUUAUAAUCUGGCACCUUCGGUGUCCGAGUUGUAAUCUCUAGAAAUGUUUUCCGCGUUGGACCGCACACAAGUCUGUUGGAAUACAGCGGCAUAGUGGUGAGACCCCCGUAUAUGGUGCGGACGCCCAGCGCUUUGUGAUACAUUUUCGAAGAGUCGAGUUGUUUGGGAAUGCAGCUCAAAUUGGGUGGUAAAUUCCAUCUAAAGCUAAAUAUUGGCGAGAGACCGAUAGCGAACAAGUACCGUGAGGGAAAGAUGAAAAGCACUUUGGAAAGAGAGUUAACAGUACGUGAAAUUGUUGGAAGGGAAACGCUUGAAGUCAGACUUGCUUGCCGAGCAAUCGGUUUGCAGGCCAGCAUCAGUUUUCCGGGAUGGAUAAUGGUAGAGAGAAGGUAGCAGUUUCGGCUGUGUUAUAGCUCUCUG